rnacentral:rRNA from 1 species
AAAUUGAAGAGUUUGAUCAUGGCUCAGAUUGAACGCUGGCGGCAGGCCUAACACAUGCAAGUCGAACGGUAACAGGAAACAGCUUGCUGUUUCGCUGACGAGUGGCGGACGGGUGAGUAAUGUCUGGGAAACUGCCUGAUGGAGGGGGAUAACUACUGGAAACGGUAGCUAAUACCGCAUAAUGUCGCAAGACUAAAGAGGGGGACCUUCGGGCCUCUUGCCAUCGGAUGUGCCCAGAUGGGAUUAGCUAGUAGGUGGGGUAACGGCUCACCUAGGCGACGAUCCCUAGCUGGUCUGAGAGGAUGACCAGCCACACUGGAACUGAGACACGGUCCAGACUCCUACGGGAGGCAGCAGUGGGGAAUAUUGCACAAUGGGCGCAAGCCUGAUGCAGCCAUGCCGCGUGUAUGAAGAAGGCCUUCGGGUUGUAAAGUACUUUCAGCGGGGAGGAAGGGAGUAAAGUUAAUACCUUUACUCAUUGACGUUACCCGCAGAAGAAGCACCGGCUAACUCCGUGCCA